rnacentral:lncRNA from 1 species
CAGCUGUUUUCCGCCUCACACCGAACCAUCUCCAAGCAAUGGCGGCGGCUACGACCACUGCUGCUUCACUAGCCUGUGCCCACUUCUUAAAUCAGACCAAGGUCCACGCGUUUCCGUCCAAAACCUCCGUGCAAGUCUCUCAAAUCAUCGAUGGGAGGAAGAUGAGAAGUGCCACUCUCUUCUCAGCCGCCUCAACCGAUAAAGCCAUCACCACUGCUCAGUCUGUCUCGUCCACUGCAUGUGAUAGGUACUACUCUUCUUACACAAGUCAUAAAGACUGUUCAUUUCGUUACUGGGUCGAUUAAAAAUCGAGUAUUUUUAGCUGAUUCGAACUUGGGUUGCUUCCAAUUUAUACAUUUGCAACCAAAAGCUUUUACCUUCAUGUGUUCUAUCUUACACAAGUCAUAAAGACUGUUACUUUCGUUAAUGGGUCGAUUAAAAAUCGUGUCUUUUUAGCUGAUUCGAACUUGGGUUGCUUCCAAUUUAUACAUUUGCAACCGAAAGCUUUCACCUUUAUGCUAUCUCUUGCUGAAAAGUCUCACCUUUUGUGUUUUGUAGAGUGAGGAGGCAUACGAUCUCGGUGUUUGUGGGUGACGAGAGCGGUAUAAUCAACCGUAUAGCUGGAGUGUUUGCUAGAAGAGGGUACAACAUUGAGUCUCUAGCUGUGGGAUUGAACGAAGACAAAGCUAUGUUUACUAUUGUUGUUCUUGGGACAGACAAAGUCUUGCAGCAAGUUGUAGAACAGCUUAACAAACUCGUCAACGUCAUCAAGGUUUGUUUUAAUUUUGUUCUCUUACUAGUAUAGUGUAAUAAAUCAUGGCUAAUCUUGUGCUUGUUAUGGUUUUGUUAAGGUUGAAGAUCUCUCCAAGGAGCCGCAUGUGGAACGUGAGUUAAUGCUGAUUAAGCUUAACGCUGAUCCAACCACACGCUCUGAGGUACUAGUUGAGAUUUGCACAAAUGAACUAACACUCGGGACUUAGUUUUUUAGUAUUGGUUGGAUGGUAAAAGUUGGUUUUCUGAUAUGAUAAAUUCAAUUCAAUCACAUUGGAAAAAACUUUUGUAAGGAUAUGAAUGAAAGGAGGCUUUAAAUUCAGUCACACUAUAGAGCUUUUUUUUUUCAUCUAAUGAUUAGUCGAAUCGCAUUAAAAUCACAUUUGAUAUAGAUGAAUAUGGAUGGGGAGAUGCUUUCUUCCUUUUUGUAUUAAGGAGCCUUUUUUUUCUUCUAAUGUUUCUAUGUACUAUACAGAUCAUGUGGUUGGUGGAUAUCUUUAGAGCAAAAGUGGUGGAUACUUCGGAUCACACUCUGACGAUUGAGGUCAGUCCUAUUCUUUACGUUAUUCAUAUCAAAAUGGUCAAGGAUGGUUCUAAUGAGUCUCAUCUUUUUCGUUGUUUAGGUAACUGGAGACCCGGGAAAGAUGGUUGCACUAACAGCGAACUUAGAGAAGUUUGGAAUAAAAGAAGUCGCUAGAACUGGGAAGGUAAUCUUUAUUUUCUCCAUGCUUCUUAACUGUCAACAACCUCAGCUUGUAGCCACUUGUAGCCUUUUAUUUUAGUUUCGUCUUGAAAAGCUUUAUUGAACGGUUGGAGUCACAAGUAUCAAUACUUGUAGCCACUUGUUAAGUUUCAUUUUAUUUAUUUUUAUCUGCAAUGUCACACUUGGAAGACUUCAACCCAGAUGUCAUGGUAGAGCCAAUCGUACGUGAAACUUCCAAUCUAACUUUUUAAAUGACUUGUUAACGUCUUACAAGACAACUCAUUAGUUUAAUUACUCUCAAAUAUCAGUAAUUGCUCCAUGUAGUCAGUUUAUGUGUUUAAGUGACUGUAAUCAACACUUUUGUCAUUACUAACCGUUGUUGUAUACUUUUGUUUGACUCUAGAUUGCUCUGAGACGGGAAAAGAUGGGAGAAACUGCUCCAUUCUGGAGAUUUUCAGCAGCAUCAUACCCACACCUCGUAAACCAAUCAUCUCAUGAGAAAGUUGCAGCGAACACAAAGCGAGCGUUGACUGGUGGAAAUGGCACUGCAUCAUCUGGGGUAUAGAUUAACAUUAUUAGCUCAUUGUUUUUUUUUUCUUUCUGCUCUACAUAUCUAAGCUCCUGUGGUAUAUUGUUAUUUUAGGGUGACGUUUAUCCAGUGGAGCCUUAUAAUGAUUUCAAACCGGUCCUUGAUGCUCAUUGGGGAGUGGUCUACGAUGAAGAUGUAAGAUACAUUGCUACACUUUUCAAUCUGAGGUCAUACUGAAAGUAAAACUGUUUAAAUGAUUGCAGUCGGAUGGUCUUCGGUCACACACAUUAUCUAUACUUGUAGCCAACGUUCCUGGAGUUCUCAAUCUAAUAACCGGAGCUAUCUCCAGGAGAGGUUAUAACAUCCAGGUUAUUAUGCAGGACACUCUUACUCUUAGUUUCACUGAUUACUAUUCUUUCAACAAUAUGUGAAAGUUAUUGCUUUUUUAUUGCUCCAGAGUCUAGCGGUUGGUCCUGCUGAGAAAGAGGGCUUGUCUCGGAUCACUACAGUUAUCCCUGGAACUGAUGAAAACAUCGACAAGUUGGUGAGGCAGCUUCAGAAGCUGAUUGAUCUUCAUGAGGUGAGACAAUGGUUUGAAAAACUUAAUAAUGUAGUAAAUACUCUAUAAAAAAAUAUUAAUGUUGGGACUUUGAUUUUUGUAGAGUUACUACUUAUACAAAAUUCUUUUUAGAAAAAUUAUAUAAUCUAAUGUAUGUUUUUAUGUUAAAAUAAGGAAUACUUGAUUUUAUAGCAUAUGCAUUGAUUAAAUUUUAUACAUACAAUUUUAUGCUGUUCUUAUUCAAUCAUUUGGUGUAUAGAAAAUGUAUAACAUUAAUAUAUUCAGAAAUAUUGAGAAAAGUUAAAGAUGGAUUUCACUGUGAAUAAAAAAAACAAACUAUACAUAUAUAUGGUUUAUGUUUAUAUAAAUUUUACAUAUAUUAAUUUAUUUUUAUAUUGGAACCAUACAUAUUUCAUAAGGUUUUUCAAAAGGUAUUAUAUUAUUAUCUUAUUGAAUUAUGUCAAAUUUUAUACUAAUCCAGUUUGGUAAAACAUUAUUAAUUUAUUGUGCUUAUUAAUUUAUUAAAUAUUAAGUUAUGGAGUUUCUAGUGUACAUUUGUUUUUUUUUUGGUUUUUAUGGGGUCUAAUAAGAUGUUUCCUUGUCAUUGUGUGUGUUUCCAGGUUCAAAAUAUAACCCACAUUGACGCUGCCGCAUAUUAUAUCGCGACCGCAGAUUUUAUUGGCGUCAGCCGCAGGACGCGGCAGGGCAUAAUCCAUUUGGACAGAAAUAUUUCAGGCAUAUUUGGGCGUGACCAUAUUAGUCCAUAUCGAUUUGGACAUGGGCCGCCCAUGGACAAUGUGCCCAAUUGACAUCCCUAAGUACAUUCCUGUAUGGCAUUUACAAUUAUCUCUUAAAUUCUAUGUACACAAUAUGGUGGAUAAUAGACUCAAUCUUUCGAUUCUGAGCUUCAUGAUACUCAUGAACAUAUCGUUCUUAGCAGAUAAUAUAUGAUUUUGACAGUAAAAAGUUUCCAGGGAAUGAGAAUAACCUUUUUACAUGUUCUUUCCAUGCAACUUUUGAGGUUGUUUUUAUCUUUAUACAGAAUAUCCUCCGGAAGACAUCUCUAGGACCCGCAUAGGAGGUCGCACAUCAUAGUAUACAAAACACAUGCUUUGUGUUUGCUCUCUAUUCCACCAACCAUAAUCAUUUUGCUAAUCUGUUAUCAAUCAUGUUUAUCUUUUCUAUUUUCCGGUGUGUAAAACCCGUUAGUUUCUCAUUAUUUGCCGUAUUUUUCAUGUAAUAUGUUCCAAAUCAAUUUUAAUAAACAGCGUUAAAAAAAACAAGUCGUUACAAAAGACACAACCUUGUUAACUUGCUCACUAUCUCGUUCGUUCUCUUGAUUCCAGUAGUGGACCGGUGAAGAAGACGAUUAUUUUAGGCACUAAACUGAUUAACCAUUUACUUUUGGUAAACAAAGACAAAGAAAUAUUUACUUUAGUAAACAAAGACUAUUAGGAAUAAAAAACACGUGAUAUAUAUAAAAAUAAUAAUGAUGAAGGAAGACACGUUACAAUAACGACAAAAAUAAUGUAAGUGACUUGUGAAAGCUUUUAGAUAUUUUGUUGUUUGGGAAUUAUAACCCACUAACUUGUAACACAAAGACUGAUAAGUUGUUUAGUACUAAACAAAGACUACAGACACUUAGUUACAAAAAAAAAACGAUAAAGCUGCUUUUUAAAAUAACAAAGGUGAAUGAAAUGGUAAUCACUAAACCUCGUUGAUAUUUGCCCAACAUAGUGUUGAAAAUUAGUUAUAGUUUCCCGCAAAUCGUAUACUAAUUCAACGGUGCGGUGUCACAUGUGAAUGUCAUGUUUGUUGGUUAUUACGAUUAGAGACAUUGUACAACAAACCAGUAAACCGGAUUGUCCAAAACCAUAUAAUAAAAACAAAACAAGACCAGUAAUAUUACUACAAUUAUUAAAUGUUUUGGUCUGUGGCGAAUAGAAAAUAAAACUGAAUUUAUUUAAAAUGCCAUUGUGCACUCACAUCUCCUCCACUCGCAGCCCACCAAAAAAACAGUGUGAGCCCUUUUAUUCAACCCAAAGUCCCUCUCUCUCUCUUCAUCAGCUGUUUUCCGCCUCACACCGAACCAUCUCCAAGCAAUGGCGGCGGCUACGACCACUGCUGCUUCACUAGCCUGUGCCCACUUCUUAAAUCAGACCAAGGUCCACGCGUUUCCGUCCAAAACCUCCGUGCAAGUCUCUCAAAUCAUCGAUGGGAGGAAGAUGAGAAGUGCCACUCUCUUCUCAGCCGCCUCAACCGAUAAAGCCAUCACCACUGCUCAGUCUGUCUCGUCCACUGCAUGUGAUAGG